AUGGGUCGGCAGAAAAUUUGGAGGGAUAGGAUCGAUGCCCACAACAGAUUGAUCAGGCAUUAUUUUGCGGAGAAUCCCAUAUACCCCGAGUCGUAUUUUCGUCGCCGGUUUAGGAUGAGCACCGAGUUGUUCAGGCGCAUUGCAGAGAAACUAGCGAGCCAUGACCGUUUUUUUUCACAAAGGAGGAAUGUCGCCGGAGAGCUCGGGCAUAGCACCUUUCAGAAGGUGACAGCCGCUUUGCGUAUGUUGGCAUACGGUAUACCGGCUGAUCUUGUUGAUGAUCACUUGGCUAUGGAUGAGAGCCAAGCCAUCAUGUGUGUCAAACGCUUUGCAGUGGGAAUUGUGCAAGUGUUUGGCGAGGAGUAUUUGAGAUCUCCUAAUGGACAAAGCUCGCGGUUUUCCUGGCAUGCUUGGCUCAAUAGAUUGCAUGCAUUGGAGUUGGAAGAAUUGUCCAAAGGCAUGGCAUGGGCAAUUCCACGGCCAAAAAAAGGGUUCCACUAUAAUCCUUGA
rnacentral:rRNA from 1 species